rnacentral:rRNA from 1 species
AACGAACGCUGGCGGCAGGCCUAACACAUGCAAGUCGAGCGCUCUCUUCGGAGGGAGCGGCGGACGGGUGAGUAACGCGUGGGAAUAUGCCCUUCUCUACGGAAUAGCCUCGGGAAACUGAGAGUAAUACCGUAUACGCCCUACGGGGGAAAGAUUUAUCGGAGAAGGAUUAGCCCGCGUUGGAUUAGGUAGUUGGUGGGGUAAAAGCCUACCAAGCCGACGAUCCAUAGCUGGUUUGAGAGGAUGAUCAGCCACACUGGGACUGAGACACGGCCCAGACUCCUACGGGAGGCAGCAGUGGGGAAUCUUAGACAAUGGGGGAAACCCUGAUCUAGCCAUGCCGCGUGAGUGACGAAGGCCCUAGGGUCGUAAAGCUCUUUCGCCAGGGAUGAUAAUGACAGUACCUGGUAAAGAAACCCCGGCUAACUCCGUG